AUGCAACGAGCCUGCUGCAGAGUCGAGCCACUCGUCCGGACGCACAGCGGACGAACACACGGAGCCAGCGGCCGACGCGACCCGGCGAGCGGCUUUAAAAGCACCGGAGGCCCCGAAGCCGCGGCUCGGACGCUGCGGACACUUGUUAGAGAGAGAGCUGCGCUUCCUCCAUCAACGCAUCGCCGCAAUUCACCAGGAAGCAGCAGGUACGACUGCAGGGCUCCACAUCGAAGCCUGGACCCAACGACGACGCCUGAGCGACAUUUAUGAAGCUUUCACGACCUUUUGGUGAGUCAGAAAUCAAUAUGCAGCCUGACACCGUGGGGGGGUUCAAGUGUGUAUUUGUCCGUAAACCACAGCUAGUACAAGCAUGAUAGUCAAAAGAUGCAUGUCAGCAUAUUUUAAUUGACCUGGAUCUUUUU
rnacentral:lncRNA from 1 species